CCUACGGCGGACAGCAGUGAGGAAUAUUGGUCAAUGGUCGGGAGACUGAACCAGCCAAGCCGCGUGAGGGAUGAAGGUACAGAGUAUCGUAAACCUCUUUUGUCAGGGAACAAAGGCGGGGACGUGUCCCCGGAUGAGUGUACCUGAAGAAAAAGCAUCGGCUAACUCCGUGCCAGCAGCCGCGGUAAUACGGAGGAUGCGAGCGUUAUCCGGAUUUAUUGGGUUUAAAGGGUGCGCAGGCGGUCUGUUAAGUCAGCGGUCAAAGUCCGGGGCUCAACCCCGGCCCGCCGUUGAAACUGGCAGUCUCGAGUUGGAGAGAAGUAUGCGGAAUGCGCGGUGUAGCGGUGAAAUGCAUAGAUAUCGCGCAGAACUCCGAUUGCGAAGGCAGCAUGCCGGCUCCACACUGACGCUGAGGCACGAAAGCGUGGGUAUCGAACAGGAUUAGAUACCCUAGUAGUC
rnacentral:rRNA from 1 species